GUCAUUUUGGGAGGAAAGACUCCCAAAAUCACAGGGUGGUUGUGAAUGGGAUGAGGGUCUUGGGCUUGAUUUUUGGUUUUUGUUUGUUUGUUUGUUUGUUUGUUUUCCGGAGCUGAGGACCGAACCCAGGGUCUUGCACUUGCUAGGCAAGCGCUCUACCACUGAGCUAAAUCCCCAACCCCUGUUUGUUUGUUUUUUGAGACAGGGUCUCACUGUGUAGCUCUGGCUGGCCUCAAACUCAUUAUAUAAAGGACCAAAUUGACCUUUCACUAACAGAGGGUCACUUGACUCUGUGCACGCACCCUCACACUCAGACUAGAGUUUUCUUUUAAAAAAGCAUUUAUUGACUCUGUCUUUUUA
rnacentral:lncRNA from 1 species